rnacentral:rRNA from 1 species
CACGUAGGGGGCGAGCGUUGUCCGGAUUUAUUGGGCGUAAAGAGCUCGUAGGCGGCUCAGUAAGUCAGGUGUGAAAACUCCAGGCUCAACCUGGAGACGCCACCUGAUACUGCUGUGGCUAGAGUCCGGUAGGGGAGCAUGGAAUUCCUGGUGUAGCGGUGAAAUGCGCAGAUAUCAGGAGGAACACCAAUAGCGAAGGCAGCUCGCUGGGACGUGACUGACGCUGAGACGCGAAAGCGUGGGGAGCAAACAGG